UCGGAUGUGGUGUAUGGUGCACAUCAGCUCUUUGUGUUGGGACAGUACUAGUUAGCUGAAGGCCAGGGUUCGACUCCCUGCAUCCGAA